CCAAAAGAUACAUUGUCCUCAAGGUUAUGUGUAGUAGUAAAUUCAUUUGAAGUGUCCAAGAAGGGUAUGCAAGUAGGGAAAUGUGUGGUGAUAUGGUGAGGUGGUGCAAUAUGGAUGGUGGAAGGCAUCAGAUCCUUUGUGAGAUGUAGAGAGGUUGAGGGGUCCAUUGAAAAAGGGUUGAUAGUAAAAGGUGAAGUGGUUUGUGGGGGUAACAGUAAAGGGGGAAAGUGGUAUCGUGGUUUGGUGAGCCUUGGAAACUGGUUUUGGAGAAAAUAAAAACUAUGGGGUCCAGGAAGGCAUUGGAGGGUCAAUUCAGGCGGCAGGAAGAUUAGAGCUAUUGGGGUACGUGGAAAAUGGUGAUGGAUUUUCUUUUAUCCAUUAGGAGGAAUGGUUUGGAUGGAUUUUUCUAGAGCCGUGUGAAAGCUGACAGUUGGGGUCUUUAUGGACACACAUUCUGCUUCUUAGGAAGGCACGUGGGAAGUAAAAAGGGGCCCGAGGUAUUGGAACAUGCGAAGUCAUUUUCCAAUACAAGAGUACUUGAUUCACUUGUUGGGAUAAGUACAUCAGAUUGGGAGUUAGAGGGUAAACCCAUUGCACUGUCGCAGUUCUCACUAAUUUUCUUCCAACCCUUCUCUGAUAUUUCCCUCUUUCCUUUAUUCUCAAAUUUUUCUUGUGAAAACCCAAGUUCAUCAUUCGCCGUGAAUAAAUUUUUUGUAACACAUGUAUCAUCUUCUACCAUUUCCUUUGAGCUAUGUUCCCUUGUAUUAUGACUCAUAUUUUUCUUUUCGUUUGCUUUAGCCUCUAAAUCUAAGGGAAUGGGAAGAAAAUCAGAUAAAUGAUUGGAACCAUGGUAGAUGCCCAUUUGAGAAACAUGAAUAACUGGGUGGAUCUUGGAAGAGGGAGGGAGAUCUAGCCCACACCCCACCAAACCGAUACGACACAACAAUUUGAAAGGUCCAAAUUAGCAUGGAGAUAACUUAUGUGAAGCUCUCUUCUGCAUCGAAACUUGACGAUAUGACUUCAAAUGGAGUAGGAAGACGUCACUGAUCCCAAAGGUCUGCCAUAAAUCGCUUCACCAUUUGCUUCAAAAGGGGACAUGCCAAUGGCCAAAUGGUGAGAAGAAUUGUACCAAAACUCAGCAAGGUGAAGAAGUUUGAACCAUUUGUGUGGUUGGUCGUUUGUGAAGCAACAGAGGUAAGUUUCUAAACUUCUGUUCACUACUUCUAUUUUCCCGUCCAUUUCAGGGUGAUAAGACGUACUGUGUUUCAAGGUAGUACCCUGUAAGCAGAAAAUUUCUUUCCAAAAAACACUGAGGAAAAGAGUAUCUCGAUCGAAAACGGUCGACUUUAGGACACCAUGAAGGAGACGUAUCUCGAAAGAAAAACGAAUGGCAAGAUCUGGUUCUUUAAAACGUGUAGGUAGUGCUAUGAAGUGCACGAAUUUGAUCAAGCGGUCACAGAUGACCCAAAUUACUGUGUGGCCGAAGGAGGAUGGUAAGUGGGUUAUGGAAUCCAUUCUUAACUCCUCCCCCACUUGUCUUGGAACUUCUAAGGGGUGUAGCAAUCCUUGUUUUUUUAGCAUAUACUUGUGUUUUGGCAUAUGAAACAACAUUGAACAAAUAUGUUGAGGUCUUUGUACAUACCAAGCCAGUUAAAAGAUGCUGAAAGUCGAGCUAGUGUUGGUUGGAUUCCGGAAUAACCUCCGUUGGGGGAGGGGGUUGUAUUAAUAAUUCUUCUUUUGGUUCUUGAGUUUCUCCUCGAAGAAAAUCUCUAUUUUGGUUCGUGAAGAUUAACCUGGAAGGAAAGCUCUAUUUUAGUUUGUGAAGAUUAGACAUUAAAAUCUACGCAAUGGUUCUUGAGCUCAUUCCGGCGUAAAAGCUUUGUUAGUUCAACAUUAGCUUGUGUAAAAUCUCAUCUUGGUACCUGAGCUCAUCUCGGAGUAAAAGAUUUGUCGGUUUUAGAUUAUCCUAUGUAAAAUCUCAUCUCUGUUUGAAGGUCAGCCCAUGUAAAACCGCGAUUCGGUUCAGAGGACAACCAACAUAAAAAUCCAUCCCCUUUCAGAGGAUAGCCAGUUUAAAACUACAUCUUGGUUCAAGAUAAGCCCUUGGAAAAUCUAUGUUUAGUUUGGAGGAUUGUCACUCUAAACCAUGUUCGUUGUUUGGUUGAAAGUUAGCCUUUAAAUUUCAUAUCCAUGUAAAAGGAGGUUUGUAGGCAUAUCCAAUUGAAACCUCUCAAAAUUAGUGGAUACUUUCAAGAAUAAUCUUUGGGGUCAGAAGAAGGUCAAGUUAGGCCAAACCUUUAUAAAUAUAUUGUGAAUUUGUCUCUC